rnacentral:rRNA from 1 species
ACGGGGUAGUAAUGUGUCGGAACGUGCCCAGAGGACGGGGAUAGCGGCGGGAAACUGCCGGUAAUACCCGAUGAUCUCGAGAGAGCAAAGGUGUGAUUCCGCCUUUGGAGCGGCCGACAUGGUAUUAGCUAGUUGGCGGGGUAACGGCCCACCAAGGCUGUGAUGCCUAGGGGAUGUGAGAGCAUGAUCCCCACCAUUGGGACUGAGACACUGCCCAGACACCUACGGGUGGCUGCAGUCGAGAAUCUUCGUCAAUGGGCGAGAGCCUGAACGAGCGACGCCGCGUGCGGGAUGAAGGCCUUUGGGUUGUAAACCGCUGUCGAGGGGGAUGAAGGCUCAGUAGUUAUCUGCUGAGUUUGACAGAGCCCUGGAGGAAGCACGGGCUAAGUUCGUGCCAGCAGCCGCGGUAAUACGAACUGUGCGAACGUUAUUCGGAAUCACUGGGCUUACAGGGUGCGUAGGCGGCUUAGCAAGUCAGGUGUGAAAGCCCCCGGCUCAACCGGGGAACUGCGCUUGAAACUGCUGAGCUCGAGUCAGCUAGAGGUACACGGAACUUCCAGUGGAGCGGUGAAAUGUGUUGA